ACAGAGGUGGCAAGCGUUGUUCGGAAUUACUGGGCGUAAAGGGUGCGUAGGCGGUGAGGCAAGUCUGAUGUGAAAUCUCCGGGCUUAACCCGGAAAUGGCAUUGGAAACUGCCUUGCUCGAGGAUCGGGGGGGAGACUGGAAUGCUUGGUGUAGCAGUGAAAUGCGUAGAUAUCGGGAGGAACACCUGUGGCGAAGGCGACCCCCUGGUUGGAUACUGACGCUGAGACGCGAAAGCGUGGGGAGCAAACAGGA
rnacentral:rRNA from 1 species